AUCAGCUCCCUUCUGUGACAUCAAGCCCUGGGCUCUCCUCAGGUGCUUUCGUGGGGUUUGGCAGCUUCAGGUCUGGUGUGAGCAGAGGGAUUCUUUGCUUAUCUCCCCUCAUGAGCAGAGCAUGCCAGUCAGUUGUGCUGUUUUACAUGUGCCUGACCCACAAAGCUGCAGGAGACUGAGGACUUGUAACAGUUCUCCAACCACGAGGCUGUGAUUCCUUGCAGAAGCUCUAAGACUGCAGACAUGCACAUACCAGUAGGGCCUGAGCCUGCCUAGAAAACUGUUGUACUGCAAGAAGAUGAGAAUGGAAGUUUCAGUCAGUUCAUGCCACUGCUUCCCCCUCAGGAAGAGGAGCCCUUGUGCUGCUGCAGCAUGAGAUCCCUUCUACAGGAGACAGUUCCCUGUUAAUUUCUCCAAUAUGGGUCUUUCUCAUGGGCUGUGGUUCUUCAAGACCUGCUCCAGCGUGAGGCCCACAGGUCCUUCCAGGACUUGCUCCAACAUGGGGCUCUUCCACAGGCUGAAAGUAGAUUUGUGCUUCCCUCCUGCAGACCACCAUGUACUCCAGGAGGACAAUCUGCUUCACUAUGGCCUGCAUCAUGGGCUGCAGGGAAAUAUCAGCUCCAGUACCUGGAACACCUCCUCCCUCUCCUUCUUCGCUGACUUCUGUGUCUGCAGAGCUGUUUCUCUCACAUAUUCUCAGUCUUCACUUCUCUGGCUGCAAUUGCUUCCGCCAAAUAACUUUUCCUACUUAAAUAUGUUAUCCCAGACAUGUUACUACCAUGGCUGAAGGUCUCAGGCUUGGCCAGUGGCAUCGUGGGGCUGGCUGGCAUUGUCUCUGCCAGACAUGGGGGAAGCUUCCAGCAGCUUCUCAAAGACAUUCCUGUAGCCUCCCUGCUACCAAAACCUUGCCAUGCAAACCAAUACACAUAUGUACAUCACAGAAGCCUAAAUAUAAGCAAGAAUAAUUCCAGUCUAAA